rnacentral:rRNA from 1 species
CGAAGGGUGCAAGCGUUACUCGGAAUUACUGGGCGUAAAGCGUGCGUAGGUGGUGCGUUAAGUCUGUCGUGAAAGCCCCGGGCUCAACCUGGGAAUGGCGAUGGAUACUGGCGCGCUAGAGUGCGGUAGAGGAGAGUGGAAUUCCCGGUGUAGCAGUGAAAUGCGUAGAGAUCGGGAGGAACAUCAGUUGCGAAGGCGGCUCUCUGGACCAACACUGACACUGAGGCACGAAAGCGUGGGGAGCAAACAGGAUUAGAUACCCUGGUAGUCCACGCCCUAAACGAUGCGAACUGGACGUUGGGAGCAACUAGGCUCUCAGUGUCGAAGCUAACGCGUUAAGUUCGCCGCCUGGGGAGUACGGUCGCAAGACUG